AUUGAACGCUGGCGGCAUGCUUUACACAUGCAAGUCGAACGGCAGCACAGGGAGCUUGCUCCUGGGUGGCGAGUGGCGAACGGGUGAGUAAUGCAUCGGAACGUGCCUGGUAGUGGGGGAUAACUACUCGAAAGAGUGGCUAAUACCGCAUGAGAUCUUUGGAUGAAAGCGGGGGACCUUCGGGCCUCGUGCUACUGGAGCGGCCGAUAUCAGAUUAGGUUGUUGGUGGGGUAAAGGCCUACCAAGCCUGCGAUCUGUAGCUGGUCUGAGAGGACGACCAGCCACACUGGGACUGAGACACGGCCCAGACUCCUACGGGAGGCAGCAGUGGGGAAUUUUGGACAAUGGGCGCAAGCCUGAUCCAGCAAUGCCGCGUGCAGGACGAAGGCCUUCGGGUUGUAAACUGCUUUUGUACAGAACGAAAAGUCUCUGGCUAAUAUCUAGAGAUCAUGACGGUACUGUAAGAAUAAGCACCGGCUAACUACGUG
rnacentral:rRNA from 1 species